UACAGAGGGGGCAAGCGUUAUUCGGAAUUAUUGGGCGUAAAGAGCGUGUAGGCGGCCAGGUAGGUCUGCUGUGAAAACUCGAGGCUCAACCUCGAGACGUCGGCGGAAACCAUCUGGCUAGAGUCCGGAAGAGGUGAGUGGAACUCCGAGUGUAGAGGUGAAAUUCGUAGAUAUUCGGAAGAACACCAGUGGCGAAGGCGGCUCACUGGUCCGGUACUAGACGCUGAGGUGCGAAAGCGUGGGGAGCAAAC
rnacentral:rRNA from 1 species